GGAUGGAUGAACCUCAGUCAUGGACGCCUGAAUGGAGAAGCUCAGGGGGAGGGGCACGGGGCUAGCCACAGGAAGUGGAGUGGUUUUUCCUAGAACCCACCUUUCCUAAGGCAGACACGCCAACGAUGUGGCAAAUGACAAGACUAGGACAGGAUGAGUGCCAAGGGUUCAGGUGGGCCUCUAGCCUACUCUGGGGAUUCAGAGAAGACGUCCUGUGGGAGCUGGCACCUUUGAGUGUUGAGGUGGAUAAGAGUGAGCCAGGAGAGGAAGGUCGGAAGGGCAGUCCAAGAUGAGAGGAUGAGCAAGAGCAGAUGCACAGAGGCAUGAGACAGCACAGGCGGCGCAGGGAACUUCAGUCCUUACUAGAUUUCCAAGCGCAAAUCAGAGGGUGGUGGGAGCGGCUGCCAGAGAGGUUAACUAGGGCCAAGUUCCAGAAGGCCUGGCGUGCUGUGCUAAGGGGCCUCCCUUUCUUCUCCAGGGAAGGGCGGGCCUUGGGAGUUUGAAGGCAGGAGUGUGACUUGGUCAGAUUUUCAUUUAUACAGACCACUGUGGUGAAGAGAUCUAAGGCAGCAGUCUGCAAACCCUGAGCAAUAAUAUCAGCUGGGGAGCUUUUACAAGUCCUGAACCCUGGUGCUACCCCAGACUAGGUCAGAAUUUCUGGGGAUGAGACUCAGGCACUGAUGUUUCUGUUUUUUGUGUGUUUUUUUUUUAAGUAAACUUUUUAUGGAAACUGAUGUACAUAGAGAAACAAGUACAAAUCAUAAGUGAACAGCCGGUGGAUUGUGAUAACGUGAGCAUACCCCUGUAACAACAUCCAGACUGAGGAAUAGAAUAUUACAGCACUCAGAAGCCCCCGGCUACCCUCUUCCCGUACAAUCCACUCCCCAACUUGACUAUUUAUUAAUUUGCUUAGUUUUGAAAUUUAUGUGUAACUUCAUGUUGUUGAAGUUUGUUUAUUCUCAUUGCUGUAAGGUACUUCAUUGUAAGAAUGUGCCACAGUUUAUUUAUCCAUUCUACUCUUGGUGGACAUUCGGUGACUUUCCUGUUUGGGGAUUAUGAAUAGUCUGCUAUGAGAAUUGUUGUAUGUAUCUUUUAGUGACCAGUGUGUACCUUUCCGUUGGGGAUAUAUCAAGGAGCGGAAUUCCUGGGUCACAGGGAAUACAUGUGUUCAGCUUUGGUGGCUAUGCCAGAGUUUUUCAAAGUGAUUGUAGGCACUAAUUGUUUUUGAAAGUCCUUAGAUGAUUCUACGACACAGCCAGAGUUGAGAAUUGCUAUUCUAAUGGCUGUCAACCUGGGGAGAGGGACACCAAUCAGGAUAAUGUUGUCACCCAGCACCUGUUAUGCAAAUGUUAGCUGAGAGUGGGAUUUUGACAGGAGGGAGCAAGCAAGCAGUGGAGGAAUAGUUAUCAGAAGAAGGAAGGAAGAAUUUUAUAAGAAGACAAAAGAAGAAAAAGGAAGAAAAAAAAAUUCCCUAAUGCUGCCGGUGUGUCUGGCUUUGGUUUUGCAAGUGUCUGGAGGAGGAGGCGUAAUCUGUUUGCGGAGGAGGGGCAGAAGAUGAAACGGUUUAAAGUGCGUCUGUUGCCGCGGGGUGAGAUUCCAGUAAGACGAUGAUCCCAAAAUUUGGCAUGAUGCAACAGCUUUAUAUCUGAGAUGGUUCUGGAUGAAAACACUGGACUACAUAAUUAUUUCCCCAAAUUAAAUAGCAUAGGAUAAGACUCUCUUA